rnacentral:rRNA from 1 species
CUACGGGAGGCACCAGUGAGGAAUAUUGCACAAUGGAGGAAACUCUGAUGCAGCAACGCCGCGUGGAGGAUGACGCAUUUCGGUGUGUAAACUCCUUUUAUAUGUCAAGAAAAUGACGGUAGCAUAUGAAUAAGCACCGGCUAACUCCGUGCCAGCAGCCGCGGUAAUACGGAGGGUGCAAGCGUUACUCGGAGUCACUGGGCGUAAAGGACGCGUAGGCGGGAUAUCAAGUCAGGUGUGAAAUCCUACAGCUUAACUGUAGAACUGCACUUGAAACUGGUAACCUAGAGUAUGGGAGGGGGAGAUGGAAUUAGUGGUGUAGGGGUAAAAUCCGUAGAUAUCACUAGGAAUACCUAAAGCGAAGGCGAUCUCCUGGAACAUAACUGACGCUAAGGCGUGAAAGCGUGGGGAGCAAACAGGAUUAGAUACCCUUGUAGUC